rnacentral:rRNA from 1 species
GAUGAACGCUGGCGGCGUGCUUAACACAUGCAAGUCGAACGGAAAGGCCCAAGCUUGCUUGGGUACUCGAGUGGCGAACGGGUGAGUAACACGUGGGUGAUCUGCCCUGCACUUCGGGAUAAGCCUGGGAAACUGGGUCUAAUACCGGAUAGGACGAUGGUUUGGAUGCCAUUGUGGAAAGUUUUUUCGGUGUGGGGUGAGCUCGCGGCCUAUCAGCUUGUUGGUGGGGUAGUGGCCUACCAAGGCGUCGACGGGUAGCCGGCCUGAGAGGGUGUACGGCCACAUUGGGACUGAGAUACGGCCCAGACUGCGACGGGAGGCAGCAGUGGGGAAUAUUGCACCAUGGGCGGAAGCCUGAUGCAGCAACGCCGCGUGCGGGAUGACGGCCUUCGGGUUGUAAACCGCUUUCGCCUGUGACGAAGCGUGAGUGACGGUAAUGGGUAAAGAAGCACCGGCUAACUACGUG